AACGUGCUGGAAGCACACACAGUUGUGACCAUCAGGUAUGCAAGAAGCAAUCAUUCUCCUGGCUCUCCUGGGUGCCAUGUCAGGUUGUCACCACUGGGAAGGAACAACUAGAUUUUGAAACAGGACCAAACAUAUUUGAUUUGCAGAUUUAUGUGAAGGAUGAGGUUGGUGUCACAGACCUGCAAGUCCUGACUGUCCAGGUAACAGAUGUGAACGAGCCACCUCAGUUUCAAGGCAACUUGGCGGAAGGUCUACACCUCUACGUAGUAGAAGGAGCAAACCCUGGAUUCAUUUACCAGGUUGAGGCCUUCGAUCCAGAAGACACAAGCAGAAACAUUCCCCUCAGUUGACUGGUACAAUCCAAGUGGCCCAAAGGAUAGACCGAGAUGCAGGUGAAUUGAGACAAAAUCCCACCAUUUCCCUGGAAGUUCUAGUGAAGGACAGACCAUAUGGGGGUCAGGAGAAUCGCAUCCAGAUAACCUUCAUUGUGGAAGACGUCAACGACAAUCCUGCCACAUGCCAAAAGUUCACCUUCA
rnacentral:sRNA from 1 species